rnacentral:lncRNA from 1 species
GGCCUCCACAUGUGACUUCUGCACCUCAUCUCUGGGAUGGUUUCAGUGGGUCCUAGAUUGCUUUCUGUGCUCCCUGGGACAGUUGGUGGCACUCUGUGAGACUACUCUGAGCAUGACUAUAGGACAGAGAGGAGACUGAGAAACACAAGAAGCACCAGAGUGGUUGAAAGGAGCUGAAGGUUCAGACAGCAACCUGGACACUAAGGGUCCAAAGCCAAGCCCAAGGUCAAGUAGCUGGACAGAGAAACAGCUGCAAGCACAGACUUGGAUCCUGACCUGAUUUUCUGCAGAAGCAAGUCCCUGUUUAGCCUUCUACUGCCUCCUUUUAGAAUGAAGCCAGACCAGUCCUUUCCAUCAUGGGCUCCUGUGGAAAAUGACCCCAGCUCAGCUCAGUAGUUGAUGGGACAUCUGAUUCAGGUUGGACCCAGCCCAGACAUCUGAUUCAAACAAUAUUCUUCUCCAGGAAUUUUGUAACCAGCACUGGUAAAGGGAGGGAAGUGCUCCCCAGUGGGGAGAGCUGCAGAAUGUGAGACUUGGAAACCAAAGGCCGCCAUGUUUUCUGUCUCAUGAUGGAAUCCAAUCUUCUUUGGCGGGGAAAAUAAAUGAAGCCAACACCAGACAACAUAUAUCAAGCAGGGGCCAUUGCUCCAGCCUGACUCCAGGAAUCAGCAGACAGCGCAGCCUCAUUCUCCACCUGCUCCCUGCAGUACAGCCUCAGAACCACACAGUUGCAGCCAACCAGCUCCUGACAUGGAACUUGAGCAACAAAUGCCCUUUGUUUUUGCAAGUCCCUGAGAUUUGGAAGUUGUUACACAGCAUUCUCUCAGCCAGAAGUGACUGACAUGGUAUCAUUGCAGUCUUGAUCAAUUUGCCCUAUGCAAAGUGUUUUUAUAUGCCAUGAAUUUCUGAAGAUAGAACUACUGUUAUUCCCCAUGCAGCAGCUGAGGAAACUGAGUCUUAGAAUGUAUAAACAACUUUCCCAAGGCUACUGAAAGUGAUGGGAAUCAAAUAUAUCUUUGCCUAACUCCAGAUCCCAUGCUUUUGAAGAUAUUUAUACUGCCUAAAGCUGUAACAGACUUUUCUAAUAGUCAUACAUGGCAUAUUUAGUUGCUCUCCAUGGGGAAAUAAUGACCUGACAUGGAAAAUAUUGGUGUACUUUAUUAUGAGAUUCUAAUAAGCAACCAUUAUACAUGUAUAUAAUAUAUACAUGCAACCUCUUAAGCUUAUGCCAUUCUGUAUGGAUGUUACUAGCUUGAAGAAAUUCUAAAGAGUAGGGAUAUUAAAAAUACUGAGCCAAUAAAGUAGGAUAAUUUUUUUAUUGUAGUCAAUUUUCAUUUAUAAUAUUAAAUUCUUGCACUCCCUUUCAAA